rnacentral:lncRNA from 1 species
GCUCACAUGUCCCUUCUGUGUCCCUGUGGCAUAUGAAAGAGCUUACAGCUCACUUGUCCCUAUCAAUUAUAACAGAGCUUAAAGCUCACUUGUCCCUAUUCCUUAUUAAAGCGCCUAAUGCUUACGUGUUCCAUGUUGCUUAUAAAAGAGUUUCAAGUUUACUUGCCCCUAUCGCUUAUAAAAGAGCUUAAAGCUCACAUAAAAUAGCAUGAAGCUCACUUGUCCUUGUGAAUUAUAGAAGAGUUUAGAGCUCACUUGUCGGUGUCGCUUAUAAAAGAGCUUAAAGGUCACUUGUCCCUUCCACUUAUACAAGAGCAUAAAGCUGACGUGUCCUGGUUGCUUGUAAUAUAGCUUAUAACUGACUUGUCCCUCUCUCUCUCUUAUAAAAGAGCUUAAACCUCACGUCUCCCUGUCACUUAUAAAAGAGCAUUCAGCUCACUUGUCUAUGUCGCUUAAAAAGAGCUCAAAGCUCAUGUGUCCAUGUCCCUUAUAAAAGAGCAUGAAGCGCACGUGUCUCUGUGGCCUAUAAAAGAGCUUAAAGCUCACUUCUCCCUGUUGCUUAUCAAAGAGCUUAAAAGUUACUUGUCCCUCCCCAUUUGUAAAUGUCCCUGACGUUUAUAAAAUUGCAUAUAGCUCAUGUGUCCUUGAUGCUUGUAAAAGAGCUUAAAGCUCACGUGUCUAUAUCGCUUAUAAAAGAGCUUAAGGCUCAUGUGUCUCUAUUGCUUAAGGCUCAUGUGUCCCUAUUGUUUAUAAAAGAGCUUAACGGUCACACGUCUCUCUUGCUUAUAAAAGAGCUUAAUGCUCAUUUAUCCUAAUGAUUAUGAAGUAGCACAAUGCUUAUGAAAGAACUUGCUCAAAUGUCCAUGUUGGUUAUGAAAAGCGUCUAAUGCUCAGGUAUCACUCAUAGCUUGAUUCUCACAUGUCCCUACUGCUUAUGAAAGAGCUUAAAGCUCACUUAUCGUGUGGCUUAUGAAAGAGCCUAAAGCUCACUUGCCCUUGUUACUUAUAAAGAGCAUAAAGCUCACUUGCCCAUGCUGCUUAUUGAAAACUUAAAGCUCACUUGUCCCUGUCAUUUGUAAAAGAACUUAAAGCUCACUUAUCCUCAUUGUUAAUUGAAGAGCUUAAAGCAUAAAGCUCACUUGUCCCUGCUGCAUAUUAAACAGCAUAAAGCUCGCGUGUCCCUAUGGCUUAUAGAAAAGCUUGAAGGUUAGUUGUCCCAGUCUCUUAUAGAAGAGUUUAAAGCUCACGCUCCCUGUUGCUUAUAAAAGAGAUUAAAAUAAUCUUGUCCAUGUCCCUAAUAGAACAACUUAAAGCUCACAUAAAAGAGCAUGUAGCUCACGUGUCCAUAUGGAUAUAAAAUAGCAUAAAGCUCAACGUUUCCUUCCCAUUUAUGAAAAAGCUUAGAGGUCACUUGUCCCUCUCGCUUAUAAAAGGGCUUAAAGCUCACGGGUCCCUGUUGUUUAAUAUAAGAGCUUAAAGCUCACUUUUCUCUGCCACUCGUAAAAGACCAUAAAGCUUACUUGCUCCUGCCGCUUAUAAAAGAGCGUAAAGCUCACUUGUCCCUGUCAUUUAUGAAAGAGUUUUAACGCUCACUUGUUCCCAUCAUUAAUUAAAGAGCUUGAAGCAUAACGCUCACUUGUCCCUGCUGCUUAUUAAAGAGCAUAAAGCCCACUUGUCCCUCUGGCUUAUGGAAAAGCUUAAAGGUUGCUUGUCCCUGUCUCCUAUAGAAGAGUUUAAAGCUCAUGUGUCCAUGUUGCUUAUAAAAGAGAUUAAUAUAAACUUGUCCAUGUCCCUACUAAAAUAACUUAAAGCUCACAUAAAAGAGCAUGACGCUCACGUGUCCCGAUGUUGAUUAUAAAAGAGCUUAAAGCUCACUUGUCCUCGUCGCUUGCAAAAGAGCUAAAGCUCACUUGUCCCCCCUCCCCCCGCGCUUAUAAAAGAACUUAAAAGCUCACUUGUCUCUGCCGCUUAUAGAAGAGCUCAAAGUUCUGGGGUCUGUGUAUAUAAAAGAGCUUAAAGCUCAUGUGUCCCGGUUGCUUAUAAAAGAGCUUAAAGCUCACUUGUCCCUCUCGUUUAUAAAAAAGAGCAUAAAGGUCACAUGUCUUUAUCGCUUCUUAAAGAGCUUAAAGCUCACUUGUCCCUAUGGCUUAUAAAAGAGCUUGAAGCUCAUUCGUCCUGCUGCUUAUAAAAGAGUAGGAAGCUCACGUGUCAAUGUGGCUCAUAAAAGAGCUUAAAGUUUGCUUGUCUCUGUAGCUUAUAAAAGGGCUUAAAGCUGAAAGCUCAUGUGUCCUAUUGGCUUAUAAAAGAGUUUAAAGCUCACGUGUCCCUUCUGUUCAUAAAAGAGUUUAGUGCUCAUGUGUCCCUCUUACUUACAAAAGAGCGCAAUGCUCAUGUGUCACUCCUAAGCAAGAGCUUAAUGCUCACAUGUCCCUGGUGCUUAUAAAAGAGCUUAAAGCUCAUGUGUCCCGGUUGCUUAUAAAAGUGCUUAACACUCACGUGUCCUUGCUUAAGAAAGAGUUUAAUGCUCAUAACCCAAUGAUUACGAAAUAGCUUGAUGAUCAUGUGUGAAAGCGCUUAAUGCUCAAAUGUCCCUGUUGCUUAUCUAAAAACUUUCUCGAGUGUCCCUGUUGCAUAUGAAAAGAGCUUAAUGCGCACGUAUCCCUCAGAGCUGAUGCUCACAUGUCCCUCAUGUGUCCCUGUGGCAUAUGAAAGAGCUUACAGCUCACUUGUCCCUAUCAAUUAUAAAAGUGCUUAAAGCUCACUUGUGCCUAUUCCUUAUUAAAGCGCCUAAAGCUUACGUGUUCCCUGUUGCUGAUAAAAGAGUUUCAAGUUUACUUGCCCCCAUCGCUUAUAAAAGAGCUUAAAGCUCACAUAAAAUAGCAUGAAGCUCACUUGUCCUUGUGAAUUAUAAAAGAGUUUAGAGCUCACUUGUCGGUGUCGCUUAUAAAAGAGCUUAAAGCUCACUUGUCCCUCCCACUUAUACAAGAGCAUAAAGCUCACGUGUCCUGGUUGCUUGUAAAAUAGCUUAUAGCUGACUUGUCCCUCUCUCUCGCUCUCUUAUAAAAGAGCUUAAACCUCACGUCUCCCUGUCACUUAUGAAAGAGCAUUCAGCUCACUUGUCUAUGUCACUUAUAAAGAGCUCAAAGCUCAUGUGUCUAUGUCCCUUAUAAAAGAGCAUGAAGCGCACGUGUCUCUGUGGCCUAUAAAAGAGCUUAAAGCUCACUUCUCCCUGUUGCUUAUCAAAGAGCUUAAAAGUUACUUGUCCCUCCCCAUUUGUAAAUGUCCCUGUCGUUUAUAAAAUUGCAUAUAGCUCAUGUGUCCUUGAUGCUUGUAAAAGAGCUUAAAGCUCACGUGUCUAUAUCGCUUAUAAAAGAGCUUAAAGCUCUAUAUCGCUUAUAAAAGGCUUAAAGCUCAUGUGUCUCUAUUGCUAAGGCUCAUGUGUCCCUAUUGUUUAUAAAAGAGCUUAACGGCACAGUUACUCUUGCUUAUAAAAGAGCUUAAUGCUCAUUUAUCCUAAUGAUUAUGAAGUAGCACAAUGCUUAUGAAAGAACUUGCUCAAAUGUCCAUGUUGCUUAUGAAAAGCGUCUAAUGCUCAGGUAUCACUCAUAGCUUGAUUCUCACAUGUCCCUACUGCUUAUGAAAGAGCUUAAAGCUCACUUAUCGUGUGGCUUAUGAAAGAGCCUAAAGCUCACUUGCCCUUGUUACUUAUAAAAUAGCAUAAAGCUCACUUGCCCAUGCUGCUUAUUGAAAAACUUUAAAGCUCACUUGUCCCUGUCAUUUGUAAAAGAACUUAAAGCUCACUUAUCCUCAUUGUUAAUUGAAGAGCUUAAAG